CCUAGAUAGGGCGAAACAGGCUGACUGUGUGUAUGUCUACGAGUGUCAGUGUCUGAGCUUCUUCGAGAGGCGGCGGAUCUGUUUGGAGGAAUAGAGUACUGUAGAUAUCUCUGAAAUGGUGCGGUCAAGUUUAGAGCAAAUUCAUCUGGGACCUCAUCUGGCACUGCUUCAAGCGUUUCAUCUGGCGCUGCGUCUAGCGUUUCAUCUGACGCUGCGUCUAGCGUUUCAUCUGGCGCUGCGUCUAGCGUUUCAUCUGGCGCUGCGUCUAGCGUUUCAUCUGGCGUUUCGUCUAGCGUUUCAUCUGGCGCUGCGUCUAGCGUUUCAUCUGGCGCUGCGUCUAGCGUUUCAUCUGGCGCUGCGUCUAACGUUUCGUCUGACACUUCAAGGGGUUGAGUAGCCUACAACAUGUUGAUGGUAAUCAAGAAAGUUCACAAGUUCAUUUUAACUUUGUUUCCAAAGUUGAGAGACAAGGGCGGGUUCGAGCUGCUGAACAUUUCUGGAACUACACAAAGCCAUCAUCUUAUACCUGUCCCAUGCCCCAAUUGGGGCUACAGUUUGCGAUAUCUGAAAGACCCUUGUGUCGUGCUACUCUACAUUCACCCGCUGUAAAGGAAUUUGCGUAUGGAGCAUGUAAGUCUAAUUUCUCAGUUUAUGUACUUUUAAUGAACUUUAGAGCACUUACUAAUCCAAAGUAGAUAUGUUGAGUGUUAAGCAAUAUUUACAACAGAUGAUAACAAAAAUAACAAAAAUCUAUAGAUAAGUGUCUUCUCUGUUUUUUUGUAUUUAUUUAUGUAAUUUUCUCAUCAAUUAGGAACUGAAUGAUUCAGUUGUUGCUCAAAGUGGAUCAUUGACACAAUGUCUAAACUGUGAAGAACAACUUUACUUUGUACAAAUAAGAAGGCACAGUGAAGCCUGCUCAAGGUAAUGCUCUGAAUGGGAAAUGAAUCAUGGUGAUGUUGGGGAAAUAUGAUAUUCUUCAUUUAUGGAAGGUGCACUCAUCAUUACAAAUGAUGGUAUGGCCAUGUUGCACAUCAAAACAGAACACUUAAGUAGUUUGAUCAUUUGUUAGUUUAGAUGUGGAAAAGGUACAAUUUAAUUGAGCUGUUCUGGGUGUUAACUUCUUGGUUCAUUGUUGCUGCACCUUUCUUUAUGAUAAAGAUGAUACUUACAACACUUCACUAUCAGGCUAUCAGCUGUUGUAGAGGGGAGUUAACUGUUAGUAUCUGAUAUACCUAACUCCUUGGCUCAACUCUUCAAGUCAAUCACAGGUUGAAAGGGCGGGGGAGAAUGAAAGGGAGAAUGAAGGUGCAGCUGUCCCUAGAGCCGGUGGGACAAGUUCCUCCACCGGUCAGCAUCCAGUUGUAGAUUUGGCAAUGGAGGUGUGUCUGGAGACAGGUUCAGAUGAGGGUUUAUAUUCUGAAGGUUUACAGAUCAGUUUUAAGGGAUUGGUAAUUUAGCACGUCUUAGGGCUAGUUAUUAAUGUUAAUGUACAAUUUUCAGGUGUAGUACUUUCUAUAUGAUACAUUUAGUUGUAUUCAAUCGUCUUUCUUUACAAACACUUACAUUCAAUGCACUAACACUCACCUCGUGAAAAUGGUGUGGACAUAAUGAUGCAUACUGAUUAUUUUAUAUUUUUAAUAACAACAGCAAGUUCAUCUGGCACUUCAGCAGCAAGUGGUCCAGUAUACACCGUUGAUGGUAAGUACAAUGUUCAGAAGAACCUAUUAUUUAGUACACUGUAUCAACUGUCUCUGAUGGGUAAAGUUUACGCAAACAUUUAUUUACUUGUCGCACCUCAUUGGACUGCUAAUUCUUGCACGUUUUGGACAUAGCAGGUGAUUUAGUGAAUAAUUUAUUUGCAUUUCAUUUGCAGUAUAGACACUGUUAUGGGUAUGCAUCUAUACCUCAGAGAAAUGCAGUUAACAUUCUAUAUUGCUGUUAUGCUUGAGUUACAGAACCAAAUCCGGUCAAGUCAGCUCAGCUGUUCACAUACUGGACACUUCAGUCCAACAAGGACAAAGACCACCUGACCUUGAGCUUGAGGGAUUCCUUAGUGGAAAGGAACAGGGCCAUAAUCCUUUUCUCACAAUGGCAUCCAAUGGCUAGGUUUGCUGAGCUAGUGUAACUACAUUGACUGAUUUCAAAUAUGUUUACAAGGUGACUCUGCCAUUGGAGAGGGGGUCACCAGGUAUGUCCUGUCCACUGUCAUGGAAAAUCUUUUUAAUAUAUUGAUUUAUAGACUUGUAGAUUAUGUGAAACAGUUUUUCCCCAGGUCAGUUAAAAAGAGAACUGUUUAUUUAAGAAGACCUUGCUCUUUGAGGGUGAGCAGGACCAUUGUGUUCCUUCCACAUCUCAGGCACUUUUGGAAAGUCAUUUUAUUUUUUGUGGUAGCUGGGUGCAUGAUUGGGCACUUAAAAAAAGUAUCAUUAUUAUUUAUUUAAAUGGUGGCCCACACCUUGCAGGACUAAGCCCUGCUAUCA